UUAAUUGAAACCAAAUAAGAGGUUAUUCACUGUUAAUGAAUAAAUUGAAUUAUAAUUCCAAUUAAA
rnacentral:tRNA from 1 species